rnacentral:lncRNA from 1 species
UUUUUACUGUUAUUUUCAUUUUAUAACUGUUGACAAUUGAUCACGCUGUAAAAAAUUUAAUAGUGGUCUUUCACUUAUUUGUGUUCAUUUAUUUUGUUUUCAUUUAUUUCAUUUGAAAAAUUUGAGUGUUGAGGUUUUGUCCAUAACCCAUGGGUAAACCAUACCCAAACCAUAAUAAAAUGGUUUUCUACAUAAAACCCACAUCUAACCCAUUUUCAUGAUUUACCCAACCCAAACCAUUUAAUUUGGUUUGAGUUUGGAUAAACCCAUGGGUUGUGGGUUUAUGCCCACCCCUAUAUACAACUAUACAUGAAACCAAUCAUAUUUUUCCUACACAAUUUCCUCACAUGUGUUCUGGCGGUAAAUCUAAAAAUGUAGCAGGAUCUGCCCAGAAAAAAUUCAAUAAUAUCUCUUAAUUUUUUUCUAAUUUUUCAUGUAAUAAUAGAGCUUUUAUUUU